rnacentral:rRNA from 1 species
GACGAACGCUGGCGGCGUGCCUAAUACAUGCAAGUCGAACGCAGUGGGGACGGGUGAGUAACACGUGGGUAACCUCCCCUCAGAGGGGAUAACACUUGGAAACAGGUGCUAAACCGAUAUGUUUGGAUGGACUCGCGGUGCAUUGGCUAGUUGGGGUGGUAACGGCUCACCAAGGCCACGAUGCAUAGCCGACCUGAGAGGGUAAUCGGCACAACUGGGACUGAGACACGGCCCAGACUCGUACGGGAGGCAGCAGUAGGGAAUCUUCGGCAAUGGACGAAAGCCUGACCGAGCAACGCCGCGUGAGUGAAGAAGGUUUUCGGAUCGUAAAGCUCUGUUGUUAGAGAAGCGGUAUCUAACCAGAAAGCCACGGCUAACUACGUGCCAGCAGCCGCGGUAAUAC